rnacentral:lncRNA from 1 species
AACAGAAGUAACGAGUCAUAGGAAAAAUAUUCUUUAUUUGAAUCUUGGUUUCCUUUGAUUUUUCAGCAAAUUCAAUAGGUCGUUUCAUUAACAUUUUCCUGGUGACUAAUAUCACUCACUAUUCAUAAAAACUAAAAAUGCUUGAAAAAAAAAAGGUAUUGGUAUCCCAAGAAGCAUAACUUGUAUUCUACAAUGAUUAACUAGAAAAAAAAGGGAAAAAAUUGAAACUUUUCUUCAUUCUCAUGUUCUCGAUCUUCUCAUUACCCAACCAACAUCUCCCUCCAAGUUUCCCUAUGAAAUUAUGCAGUACCUACAAGGAAUAAAGCAAUAGAUAGUAGCUACCAUAACCAAGUCUCUCAAAAGAAAACUAUACUUCCAUUUCGUUCAUAUCAGCUUCUUAAUAGUAAUUUUCAAAUUAGAGUUGAAUAUCCAAUCACUGACUAAUGAAAUGGGAAAUGGAAGUCUCUCUCUGACCCAAGAUAUGCGAAUUGAGUUAUGAAGGAGAGCGCAUACCGUAUUGGGGAUUGUCCAAGAACACCAUCGAUCGUCGCGAAACUCAGUAUUUUCUUCUAAAGAUAUACAAUCGAAGAAAAUCUUUGUAUUUCAGCUGAAUUUUUGAAGCCUCGAUGGCAUAAACCGACCUCAAAC